rnacentral:rRNA from 1 species
CCUACGGGGAGCAGCAGUGAGGAAUAUUGGUCAAUGGACGAGAGUCUGAACCAGCCAAGUAGCGUGAAGGAUGACUGCCCUAUGGGUUGUAAACUUCUUUUAUAUGGGAAUAAAAUGUUCCACGUGUGGGAUUUUGUAUGUACCAUAUGAAUAAGGAUCGGCUAACUCCGUGCCAGCAGCCGCGGUAAUACGGAGGAUCCGAGCGUUAUCCGGAUUUAUUGGGUUUAAAGGGAGCGUAGGUGGAUUGUUAAGUCAGUUGUGAAAGUUUGCGGCUCAACCGUAAAAUUGCAGUUGAAACUGGCAGUCUUGAGUACAGUAGAGGUGGGCGGAAUUCGUGGUGUAGCGGUGAAAUGCUUAGAUAUCACGAAGAACUCCGAUUGCGAAGGCAGCUCACUGGACUGCAACUGACACUGAGGCUCGAAAGCGUGGGGAGCAAACAGGAUUAGAUACCCUAGUAGUC